AUGGAGAACCAGAAAGGUUAGGGAAUCGCGGUGAGAGAUUGAUUUGCUAGGUUUCUGCUGGGUUUUGUAGGGUGUGGGUUCAGAGAGAUUGGCAGAGAGAUUGGCAGCGGUGGUGGGGUUUACUGGAUGUUUCUCGUUGUCUUCUUUUCACGGCGAAUAAGGCGGAGGAAGAAAGUGAGUGUAGUGAGAGAGAGAGAGAGAGAGAAAGAAAGAAAUCGAGAGGUGCUGGGAUUUGGGUGGGGUGGGAUUUGGGUGAGGUGCUGGGAUUUGCAGAAGAGAUGAGGGUGCGGGGGUGAGGGAUAGGUUGGGCUUUUUUUUUGUUAUUUUUGUGUUUUUGUAUUUUUUUUUUUUAAUUUUUUAAUAUUAAAGUGGGUCCAUAUUGACACGUGGCUCAAUUAUUGUCCACGUGAGUGCCACGUCAUCAAUUAACAGAAAUUCUAACGGAAAACUUAACGAAGGUAUGAAACUGUCCUAAAAUUAAGACUU
rnacentral:lncRNA from 1 species